ensembl:lncRNA
CACAUGGCAGCCAGAUGGUUAACGGUUUGUCUACACUAGCACACCGUAAUGGAUACGUGCGGUUUAGGCCCCCCAGAGUAGCUCGCGUUUGGGUGUGCUGGAAGCAUAUGGCAGCAAGUUCGAUGUUGCGUCAAGAAUUCAUCAUAGCAAAUACAGAAGCCUGUCUGCAGAUGAAGAGGUCCCAAUGACGAGCAGCGGUUCUCAGUCCUGGUCCCGGGAAAUCAAAGGGAUGCACGUUUCAGCCUUAGCACGACACAGCUGAUUCAAAUGAUCAACUCAUCAAGCUUCAAGUAGUAUUUAUGUAUUCAUUUGUGAUGCUAUCCUUGAUAUGAUCCUGCUAUUGUCACAUGCUACACAUGCAUCUAUCUAUCCAAUGUUAUCAUGAUUUGUUAUGAGGGAUAUUAUACUUCAGUAAUCCACAAUGACCUGGUGAUGUGAAAGUCUAAUGACAUUAUCUUCCAUAUUCCUACAGAUACCUUGUAACAGGACAUUAUUUCAAAAUGAUUUCCUACAGUUACCGUGUAGGGCACUGCAAGGGUGGGUGACCAGGGCCAUCUGGGACUGCCUCCUGGGGGAAUUCAGGCGUGUGAAGGCUACCUGUGUCCUACAUAAUAUAAUGGACACGAGGACCAGGAGGGGAUCUGCAACUCGCCACCAUGUGCCAUAGGAGAAGUCUGCUGCUCUUCAGGAUGUUUCAAGGAUGGGGUCCAACAAUGCAGCAAGAGGCGAGAGAUCUUCACCUCCUACUUCUUCGAAGGGUGUGCUGUUCCCUGGCAACACCAUAGACUACACUAUGAACAACCAAAGGCUAUUUUAAGAGCCAUCCACAUUGAAAUAAGAGUAUUCUUCCAUUUGCUUAGCUAUGUCAACUGCAGUUGUUCAAUUCCCAGUUUCUCUCCCUUUUAAUUUCAACUUCUCAGGUGAGGGUGCUGUUUAGGUAAGGGUGUGAUGUCUGUACAAAAACAAAACAGGCUAUUUUAAGUCUCCCAUAUUGAAAAGAUGUAGAACAAUUAGACACCCUAUAACCCACACCUACAC